rnacentral:rRNA from 1 species
GUCAGCAGGCGGUAACACCGGCGGCCCGAGUGGUGAUCGUGAUUAUUGGGUCUAAAGGGUCCGUAGCCGGUUGGUCAGUCCUCCGGGAAAUCUGAUAGCUCAACUAUUAGGCUUUCGGGGGAUACUGCCAGACUUGGACCCGGGAGAGGUAAGAGGUACUACAGGGGUAGGAGUGAAAUCUUGUAAUCCCUGUGGGACCACCUGUGGCGAAGGCGUCUUACCAGAACGGGUUCGACGGUGAGGGACGAAAGCUGGGGGCACGAACCGGAUUAGAUACCCGGGUAGUCCCAGCCGUAAACGAUGCUCGCUAGGUGUCAGGCAUGGCGCGACCGUGCCUGGUGCCGCAGGGAAGCCGUGAAGCGAGCCACCUGGGAAGUACGGCCGCAAGGCUGAAACUUAAAGGAAUUGGCGGGGGAGCACAACAACGGGUGGAAGCCUGCGGUUUAAUUGGACUCAACGCCGGACAACUCACCGGGGGCGACAGCAAUAUGUAGGCCAAGCUGAAGACUUUGCCUGAAUCGCUGAGGAGUGGUGCAUGG